GGCAACUAGAACUCAGUCGGUAGAGCAUCAGAUUUUUAAUCUGAGAGUCCAUGGUUCAAGACAUGUGGGGCUA